GCAGCCUGAUGCAGCGACGCCGCGUGAGGGAUGACGGCCUUCGGGUUGUAAACCUCUUUCAGUAGGGACGAAGCGCAAGUGACGGUACCUAUAGAAGAAGGACCGGCCAACUACGUGCCAGCAGCCGCGGUAAUACGUAGGGUCCGAGCGUUGUCCGGAAUUACUGGGCGUAAAGAGCUCGUAGGUGGUUUGUCGCGUUGUUCGUGAAAACUCACAGCUCAACUGUGGGCGUGCGGGCGAUACGGGCAGACUAGAGUACUGCAGGGGAGACUGGAAUUCCUGGUGUAGCGGUGGAAUGCGCAGAUAUCAGGAGGAACACCGGUGGCGAAGGCGGGUCUCUGGGCAGUAACUGACGCUGAGGAGCGAAAGCGUGGGGAGCGAACAGGAUUAGAUACCCUGGUAGUCCACGCCGUAAACGGUGGGUACUAGGUGUGGGUUUCCUUCCUUGGGAUCCGUGCCGUAGCUAACGCAUUAAGUACCCCGCCUGGGGAGUACGGCCGCAAGGCUAAAACUCAAAGAAAUUGACGGGGGCCCGCACAAGCGGCGGAGCAUGUGGAUUAAUUCGAUGCAACGCGAAGAACCUUACCUGGGUUUGACAUGCACAGGACGUGCCUAGAGAUAGGUAUUCCCUUGUG
rnacentral:rRNA from 2 species